rnacentral:rRNA from 1 species
AGUGAACGCUGGCGGUAGGCCUAACACAUGCAAGUCGAACGGCAGCACAGGAGAGCUUGCUCUCUGGGUGGCGAGUGGCGGACGGGUGAGGAAUACAUCGGAAUCUACUUUUUCGUGGGGGAUAACGUAGGGAAACUUACGCUAAUACCACAUACGACCUACGGGUGAAAGCAGGGGACCUUCGGGCCUUGCGCGAUUGAAUGAGCCGAUGUCGGAUUAGCUAGUUGGGGGGGUAAAGGCCCACCAAGGUGACGAUCCGUAGCUGGUCGGAGAGGAUGAUCAGCCACACUGGAACUGAGACACGGUCCAGACUCCUACGGGAGGCAGCAGUGGGGAAUAUUGGACAAUGGGCGCAAGCCUGAUCCAGCCAUACCGCGUGGGUGAAGAAGGCCUUCGGGUUGUAAAGCCCUUUUGUUGGGAAAGAAAUCCAGCUGGCUAAUACCCGGUUGGGAUGACGGUACCCAAAGAAUAAGCACCGGCUAACUUCGUGCCAGCCGCCGCCGUAA